AUUGAACGCUGGCGGCAUGCCUUACACAUGCAAGUCGAACGGCAGCACGGGAGCAAUCCUGGUGGCGAGUGGCGAACGGGUGAGUAAUAUAUCGGAACGUGCCCAGUCGUGGGGGAUAACGUAGCGAAAGCUACGCUAAUACCGCAUACGAUCUAUGGAUGAAAGCGGGGGAUCGCAAGACAUCGCGCGAUUGGAGCGGCCGAUAUCAGAUUAGGUAGUGGGUGGGGUAAAGGCUCACAAAGCCGACGAUCUGUAGCUGGUCUGAGAGGACGACCAGUCACACUGGGAGUGAGACACGGCCCAGACUCCUACGGGAGGCAGCAGUGGGGAAUUUUGGACAAUGGGCGCAAGCCUGAUCCAGCAAUGCCGCGUGCAGGAUGAAGGCCUUCGGGUUGUAAACUGCUUUUGUACGGAGCGAAAAGGCUCUCUCUAAUACAGGGGGCUCAUGACGGUACCGUAAGAAUAAGCACCGGCUAACUACGUGCCAGCCGCCGCAGUAA
rnacentral:rRNA from 1 species